AUAUCCAAAGAACCCUGACUAAUGGAGCUAGGCAUGCCAGCUAUGAACCUGGAAGUACUAGAAGGCUGUGGUGGCAGCAGAGGAGGAGGCCCUGAACAGAGGAGGAGGCACAGAGGUUGAUGAGAGCAGAGUUUCUCACUGUUGGAGAAGGGAUUUGCAAAUAUGGAGCACAGCCAUAAAACAUCCUGAGUCAUCAUAGUAUGGUCCCCAUUGUCUCUUUGAUGAUGGAAAUGUACAGUGAAAGGAGUCGGGAUUCUGAGUUUACUGCUUGGAAGACAGCCACCCAGGAGAGCCACUGACCAGGAAACGCCUCCUGAGACUCUGCAUGAGCCAAAAAUAAAUAUUUG
rnacentral:lncRNA from 13 species